UACGUAGGGUCCGAGCGUUGUCCGGAGUUACUGGGCGUAAAGCGCGCGCAGGCGGCGGUGCUGGCCCGGCGUGAAAGCCCCCGGCUCAACCGGGGAGAGUCGUCGGGGACCGCACCGCUUGAGGGCGGCAGGGGCUGGUGGAAUGCCUGGUGUAGUGGUGAAAUGCGUAGAGAUCAGGCAGAACACCUGGGGCGAAGGCGGCCAGCUGGGCCGUCCCUGACGCUGAGGCGCGAAGGCGUGGGGAGCGAACGGG
rnacentral:rRNA from 1 species